rnacentral:tRNA from 1 species
GCCCCCAUAGCUCAGCGGACCAGAGCACUCCGCUUCGGACGGAGGGGUCGGGAGUUCAAAUCUCUCUGGGGGCG